rnacentral:rRNA from 1 species
GGGCGAACGGCCACACUGGAACUAAGACACGGUCCAGACUCCUACGGGAGGCAGCAGUGGGGAAUUUUGCGCAAUGGGCGAAAGCCUGACGCAGCAACGCCGCGUGGAGGAUGAAGGUCUUCGGAUCGUAAACUCCUGUCAGUGGGGAAGAAAGCCUCGCAAGAGGUUUGACUGUACCCGUUGAGGAAGCCACGGCCAACUCCGUGCCAGCAGCCGCGGUAAUACGGAGGUGGCAAGCGUUGUUCGGAAUUACUGGGCGUAAAGGGCGCGUAGGCGGCAUGGCAAGUCGGAUGUGGAAUCCCCGGGCUUAACCUGGGAACUGCAUCCGAAACUGCUUUGCUUGAGUCCUGGAGGGGGUAGUGGAAUUCCCAGUGUAGCGGUGAAAUGCGUAGAUAUUGGGAGGAACACCUGCGGCGAAGGCGGCUACCUGGACAGUGACUGACGCUGAGGCGCGAAAGCUAGGGGAGCGAACGGGAUUAGAUACCCCGGUAGUCCUAGCUGUAAACGAUGGGCACUUGGUGUUGGGGGUAUUGAGUCCCCCGGUGCCGGAGUUAACACGUUAAGUGCCCCGCCUGGGGAGUACGGUCGCAAGACUGAAACUCAAAGGAAUUGACGGGGGCCCGCACAAGCGGUGGAGCAUGUGGUUCAAUUCGACGCAACGCGAAGAACCUUACCGGGGCUCGAACGGUGACUGCAACCUCUGGAAACAGGGGGUUCUUUUCGGAGACGGUUACCGAGGUGCUGCAUGGCUGUCGUCAGCUCGUGUCGUGAGAUGUUGGGUUAAGUCCCGCAACGAGCGCAACCCUUGCCCUUAGUUGCCAGCAGGUCAAGCUGGGCACCCUAAGGGUACUGUCGGCGAAAAGCCGGAGGAAGGUGGGGAUGACGUCAAGUCCUCAUGGCCCUUAAGUCCCGGGCUACACACGUGCUACAAUGGUCGGAACAAAGGGUCGCCAACCCGCGAGGGGGAGCUAAUCCCAAAAAGCCGAUCUCAGUUCGGAUUGCAGUCUGCAACUCGACUGCAUGAAGUUGGAAUCGCUAGUAAUCGCAGAUCAGCACGCUGCGGUGAAUACGUUCCCGGGCCUUGUACACACCGCCCGUCACAUCACGAAAGUGGGUUGUACUAGAAAUCGCUGGGCUAACCCGCAAGGGGGGCAGGCGCUUAAGGUAUGAUCCAUGAUUGGGGUGAAGUCGUAACAAGGUA